rnacentral:lncRNA from 1 species
ACUUCACCGAAACACACAAAUGAGUAGUGCUUCUUGAAGGUUUCGACGAGAGGAAUCCAAAAAUGAUGUCAGUUUUUCAAGAUGAUGAACGUGUUGGCCGGAUUUUGGCAACACAGCCGCGGCGAGGGUGAAAACCCAUUUUUUUAAGUACAACGAUUGGCAAUUUCAAGCAUAGGUAAUGGGAGAGGGUGUUUUGUGGAGUCCAAAUAUGGUCUCAGUUUUCAUUGGGGAUAGUCGUGGUGGCCGGAAUCUUGAUCAAAAGGUGGAGGUGUGAUUUUUGACAGAGAGGAAUAUGGCGUUUAAGUUUGCGAUUCAAGUUGGAAAUGAAAGAGAAGAUCACAACGAUCACAAAUGUGGUCUCGGUUUUACACGAAACUUGGUAUAAUGGUUAUAAUUGAAGAGAGAAGGUCAAGAAGAUAUAAGAAUGGAGGCGGAGGCUAGUCUACGAAGAAGAUGAGGAUGCGUACUUCUAUUCUCCUUUUUUUUUUUUUU